UACUUAGUGGCGGACGGGUGAGUAACGCGUGGGCAACCUGCCCCGUGCCGGGGGAUACCGCCUGGAAACAGGCGCUAAUACCGCAUAAGCGCAUACAGCCGCAUGGGUGUAUGCGGAAAGCUCCGGCGGCACGGGAUGGGCCCGCGCCCGAUUAGCCAGUUGGCGGGGUAACGCCCACCAAAGCGACGAUCGGUAGCCGGCCUGAGAGGGCGGACGGCCACAUUGGGACUGAGACACGGCCCAAACUCCUACGGGAGGCAGCAG
rnacentral:rRNA from 1 species